rnacentral:lncRNA from 1 species
GCCCCUCUUUCGCAUCCUGCUCAAAGUGCCUGCCCUGGCCUUGGGCCAGCAGAAAUGGCAUCGCAAGGACUCCAAAAUACAUCAUAGCUGAACCACGCCGCUAGCCUGGUUCCACCGGGGCUUCCAGGACCACGCACCUUUCCUCCAUUUCUGUGAUUAGCUUUCCCCUCUACCCUUUAUUGAUCUCCGUGACGGAAAUGGUUGGGUCUCGUUUUGCUCAGUUGGGCAAGGCGCGUGGUAUUGAGUUAAGGCUGGAUGAGUAUCUGUUGAGUGUAUGAAAUUUUAGAGAUUAC